rnacentral:piRNA from 1 species
UACAAUUCUUGCUUCUCAUACCUGUGACCA